CCNCUUUUAAAAAUAACAUAAAAACUCUACGGUAAUNUUWAUUGGUUUUAGGUUGGGGUGACCACGGAGCAAAACACAACCUCCUUGACGAAUUGAUUUCAUCCUAAUCCAAGAGCCACUGCUCUAAGAAUCAAAAAUUUGACGUAAUAUGAUCCGGUANCGAUCAACGAACCAAGUUACCCUGGGGAUAACAGCGCAAUCCAUUUCAAGAGCCCCUAUCGACAAAUGGGUUUACGACCUCGAUGUUGGAUCA
rnacentral:rRNA from 1 species